rnacentral:rRNA from 1 species
AUUGAACGCUGGCGGCAGGCCUAACACAUGCAAGUCGAGCGGAUGAAGGGAGCUUGCUCCUGGAUUCAGCGGCGGACGGGUGAGUAAUGCCUAGGAAUCUGCCUGGUAGUGGGGGAUAACGUCCGGAAACGGGCGCUAAUACCGCAUACGUCCUGAGGGAGAAAGUGUGGGAUCUUCGGACCUCACGCUAUCAGAUGAGCCUAGGUCGGAUUAGCUAGUUGGUGGGGUAAAGGCCUACCAAGGCGACGAUCCGUAACUGGUCUGAGAGGAUGAUCAGUCACACUGGAACUGAGACACGGUCCAGACUCCUACGGGAGGCAGCAGUGGGGAAUAUUGGACCAUGGGCGGAAGCCUGAUCCAGCCAUGCCGCGUGUGUGAAGAAGGUCUUCGGAUUGUUAAGCACCUUAAGUUGGGAGGAAGGGCAGUAAGUUAAUACCUUGCUGUUUUGACGUUACCAACAGAAUAAGCACCGGCUAACUUCGUG